UAAAACUUUCAACAACGGAUCUCUUGGUUCUGGCAUCGAUGAAGAACGCAGCGAAAUGCGAUAAGUAAUGUGAAUUGCAGAAUUCAGUGAAUCAUCGAAUCUUUGAACGCACAUUGCGCCCCUUGGUAUUCCGAGGGGCAUGCCUGUUCGAGCGUCAUUU
rnacentral:rRNA from 2 species